GAUGAACGCUGGCGGCGUGCCUAAUACAUGCAAGUCGAGCGAACAGACGAGGAGCUUGCUCCUCUGACGUUAGCGGCGGACGGGUGAGUAACACGUGGAUAACCUACCUAUCAGACUGGGAUAACUUCGGGAAACCGGAGCUAAUACCGGAUAAUAUAUUGAACCGCAUGGUUCAAUAGUGAAAGACGGUUUUGCUGUCACUUAUAGAUGGAUCCGCGCCGCAUUAGCUAGUUGGUAAGGUAACGGCUUACCAAGGCAACGAUGCGUAGCCGACCUGAGAGGGUGAUCGGCCACACUGGAACUGAGACGCGGUCCAGACUCCUACGGGAGGCAGCAGUAGGGAAUCUUCCGCAAUGGGCGAAAGCCUGACGGAGCAACGCCGCGUGAGUGAUGAAGGUCUUCGGAUCGUAAAACUCUGUUAUUAGGGAAGAACAAAUGUGUAAGUAACUAUGCACGUCUUGACGGUACCUAAUCAGAAAGCCACGGCUAACUACGUG
rnacentral:rRNA from 1 species